AGUGAACGCUGGCGGCAGGCCUAACACAUGCAAGUCGAGCGGCAGCACGGGUAGCAAUACCUGGUGGCGAGCGGCGGACGGGUGAGGAAUACAUCGGAAUCUGCCUUGUUGUGGGGGAGUAACGUAGGGAAACGUUACGCUAAUACCGCAUAAGACCGAGAGGUGAAAGACGGGGAGUCGAAAGACCUCGCGCGACAAGAUGAGCCGAUGUCGGAUUAG
rnacentral:rRNA from 1 species